rnacentral:rRNA from 1 species
CCUACGGGAGGCAGCAGUGGGGAAUAUUGCACAAUGGGGGAAACCCUGAUGCAGCGACGCCGCGGGAGUGAAGAAGUAAUUCGUUACGUAAAGCUCUAUCAGCAGGGAAGAAAAUGACGGUACCUGAGUAAGAAGCCCCGGCUAACUACGUGCCAGCAGCCGCGGUAAUACGUAGGGGGCAAGCGUUAUCCGGAUUUACUGGGUGUAAAGGGGGCGUAGACGGUGCGCCAAGUCUGGAGUGAAAUGCCGCAGCUUAACUGCGGAACUGCUUUGGAAACUGGCGAACUAGAGUGCGGGAGGGGUAAGCGGAAUUCCUAGUGUAGCGGUGAAAUGCGUAAAUAUAUGUAAGAACACCAGUGGCGAAGGCGGCUUGCUGGGUCGAUACUGACAUUGAGGCACGAAAGCGUGGGGAGCAAACAGGAUUAGAUACCCUUGUAGUC